rnacentral:rRNA from 1 species
AUUGAACGCUGGCGGCAUGCCUUACACAUGCAAGUCGAACGGCAGCACGGGUGCUUGCACCUGGUGGCGAGUGGCGAACGGGUGAGUAAUACAUCGGAACGUACCUUAUCGUGGGGGAUAACGCAGCGAAAGCUGUGCUAAUACCGCAUACGCCCUGAGGGGGAAAGCGGGGGAUCGAAAGACACAGCGCGAUUAGAGCGGCCGAUGCCUGAUUAGCUUGUUGGUGGGGUAAAAGCCCACAAAGGCGACGAUCAGUAGCUGGUCUGAGAGGACGAUCAGCCACACUGGGACUGAGACACGGCCCAGACUCCUACGGGAGGCAGCAGUGGGGAAUUUUGGACAAUGGGGGCAACCCUGAUCCAGCAAUGCCGCGUGAGUGAAGAAGGCCUUCGGGUUGUAAAGCUCUUUUGUCAGGGAAGAAACACCGGCUCUAACACAGUCCGGGAAUGACGGUACCUGAAGAAUAAGCACCGGCUAACUACGUGCCAGCCGCCGCGGUAA